AGCGGCUGGCACCCGUCCACAACUGCCAAAUCUCGGGUCUUCGGACUCGCAGAACCCCGCGAACGAAGUGCAUUAGUUUGUUAUGCGACGUUGGGCGAGAGGCGUCUCGCCGGGCCCCCUCCCUCGGGACGGGUUCCGAAUCAAAGCGUACACCCCAUUUUCAACCCCACUAAACUCUGAAUCUGAACUCGAAAGGGAGGCUGGCCCUACGGCCAGCCGUCCUCAACCAUAUAACGUUGUAAAACUUUCAGCGACGGAUGUCUUGGCUCCCACAACGAUGAAGAACGCAGCGAAAUGCGAUACGUCUUGCGACUUGCAGAAUCCAGUGAAUCAUCAAAACUUUGAACGCAUCUUGCGCUUCCGGGAUACUCCUGGGAGCAUGCUUGUCGGAGUGUCUGUUGACACCACUCGCCCGCCUCUCCUUUUCUCCUACCCGGGGGAAAGGGUGGCGAGCGGACUCUGCGUGUUCCGGAGCUUUCGACGCCCUCCUCGGGGGGUGUCGGGAAAACGCUCCGAGUGCACCGAAUCUCGUGAACGAAACCUCUCUUCUGCCUGUGGCCUUGGUUGCGCAGAGUUGUUGACGGCGCUCGUGCCCUUUCUGGGUUCGGCGACUCUCGGCUCGAUAAACGCGCGGCGAAGCGCCCCUGUUGCGGAGGGGUUUGUUGUUUUACCGGUGGGCGGUCCUAC
rnacentral:misc_RNA from 1 species